rnacentral:rRNA from 1 species
UGGGGAAUAUUGGACAAUGGGGGGAACCCUGAUCCAGCGAUGCCGCGUGUGUGAAGAAGGCCUGAGGGUUGUAAAGCACUUUUAGUGGGGAGGAGAGUUGCUAUGUUAAGAGCUAAGCAAUUGGACGUUACCCACAGAAAAAGCACCGGCUAACUCCGUGCCAGCAGCCGCGGUAAUACGGAGGGUGCAAGCGUUAAUCGGAAUGACUGGGCGUAAAGGGUGCGUAGGUGGUUGAAUAAGUUAUAGGUGAAAUCAUAGGGCUCAACCUUGUGUGGAAUUAUAAUACUGUUUAACUAGAGUGUAGGAGAGGGUAGUGGAAUUUCCGGUGUAGCGGUGAAAUGCGUAGAGAUCGGAAGGAACACCAGUUGCGAAGGCGGCUACCUGGCCAUACACUGACACU